rnacentral:tRNA from 1 species
GGCGCGGUAGCAAAGUGGUAAUGCAGCGGUCUGCAAAACCGCCAUCGGGGGUUCGAUUCCCCCCCGCGCCU